rnacentral:rRNA from 1 species
AAGCUACCCUGGGGAUAACAGGCUUAUCUCCCCCAAGAGUCCACAUCGACGGGGAGGUUUGGCACCUCGAUGUCGGCUCAUCACAUCCUGGGGCUGUAGUAGGUCCCAAGGGUUGGGCUGUUCGCCCAUUAAAGUGGUACGCGAGCUGGGUUCAGAACGUCGUGAGACAGUUCGGUCCCUAUCCGUCGCAGGCGUAGGAAAUUUGAGAAGACCUGUCCUUAGUACGAGAGGACCGGGAUGGACGUACCUCUGGUGUACCAGUUGUCCUGCCAAGGGCAUGGCUGGGUAGCUAUGUACGGAAUGGAUAAGCGCUGAAAGCAUCUAAGCGCGAAGUCAACUUCAAGAUAAGAUUUCCCACCGCAAGGGUAAGACCCCAGAAAGACUAUCUGGUUGAUAGGUCGAAGGUGUAAGUGCAGCAAUGUAUUUAGCUUAUCGAUACUAAUAGGUCGAGGACUUGACCAAU